UUUCCUACGGGGCGCAGCAGUGGGGAAUAUUGCACAAUGGGGGAAACCCUGAUGCGGCGACGCCGCGUGAGCGAUGAAGUAUUUCGGUAUGUAAAGCUCUAUCAGCAGGGAAGAAAAUGACGGUACCUGACUAAGAAGCCCCGGCUAACUACGUGCCAGCAGCCGCGGUAACACGUAGGGGGCAAGCGUUAUCCGGAUUUACUGGGUGUAAAGGGGGCGCAGACGGCGAUGCAAGCCAGGAGUGAAAGCCCGGGGCCCAACCCCGGGACUGCUCUUGGAACUGCGUGGCUGGAGUGCAGGAGGGG
rnacentral:rRNA from 1 species